GGCUGGUUAGCUCAGCUGGUUAGAGCGUGGUGCUAAUAAUGCCAAGGUCGCGGGUUCGAUCCCCGUACUGGCCA
rnacentral:tRNA from 2 species